CGUCGGACGCCGCCCAACCGGGUGCCGGCAGUGAGCCGGCUCCCGGGCCGGGGACCCAACGCAGUACCUGGGGUGAAGCAGGACGGGACACCAGUCCCGGUCUGCCGGGCGAGUUCCCCGCCCGAACCCGUCAGCUAACCCGGUCGGCGGUCAAGGAGAACAGGA
rnacentral:sRNA from 2 species